rnacentral:rRNA from 1 species
ACGAACGCUGGCGGCGUGCUUAACACCUGCAAGUCGAACGGUAAGGCCCUUUCGGGGGUACACGAGUGGCGAACGGGUGAGUAACACGUGGGUGAUCUGCCCUGCACUUUGGGAUAAGCCUGGGAAACUGGGUCUAAUACCGGAUAGGACUACGCGAUGCAUGUCGUGUGGUGGAAAGCUUUUGCGGUGUGGGAUGGGCCCGCGGCCUAUCAGCUUGUUGGUGGGGUGAUGGCCUACCAAGGCGACGACGGGUAGCCGGCCUGAGAGGGUGUCCGGCCACACUGGGACUGAGAUACGGCCCAGACUCCUACGGGAGGCAGCAGUGGGGAAUAUUGCACAAUGGGCGCAAGCCUGAUGCAGCGACGCCGCGUGGGGGAUGACGGCCUUCGGGUUGUAAACCCCUUUCAGCACAGACGAAGCGUAAGUGACGGUAUGUGCAGAAGAAGCACCGGCCAACUACGUG